AAUAAACGCUGGCGGCAUGCCUAACACAUGCAAGUCGAACGAAGGCUUCGGCCUUAGUGGCGCACGGGUGCGUAACGCGUGGGAAUCUGCCCUCAGGUUCGGAAUAACAGCGAGAAAUUGCUGCUAAUACCGGAUGAUAUCGCGAGAUCAAAGAUUUAUCGCCUGAGGAUGAGCCCGCGUAGGAUUAGCUAGUUGGUGAGGUAAGGGCGCACCAAGGCGACGAUCCUUAGCUGGUCUGAGAGGAUGAUCAGCCACACUGGGACUGAGACACGGCCCAGACUCCUACGGGAGGCAGCAGUGGGGAAUAUUGGACAAUGGGCGAAAGCCUGAUCCAGCAAUGCCGCGUGAGUGAUGAAGGCCUUAGGGUUGUAAAGCUCUUUUACCCGGGAUGAUAAUGACAGUACCGGGAGAAUAAGCUCCGGCUAACUCCGUGCCAGCCGCCGCCGUAA
rnacentral:rRNA from 1 species